GAACCUUUACUAUAGCUUGACACUGAACAUUGAGCCUUGAUGUGUAGGAUAGGUGGGAGGCUUUGAAGUGUGGACGCCAGUCUGCAUGGAGCCGACCUUGAAAUACCACCCUUUAAUGUUUGAUGUUCUAACGUUGACCCGUGAUCCGGGUUGCGGACAGUGUCUGGUGGGUAGUUUGACUGGGGCGGUCUCCUCCUAAAGAGU
rnacentral:rRNA from 1 species